GCGCCAUUUGUGUAGCGGUUAGCAUUUCAGGUUCCCAACCUGGAGACCCGGGUUCAAUUCCCGGAUGGCGCAC
rnacentral:tRNA from 1 species